rnacentral:lncRNA from 1 species
CUGGUUUGUCUAACAUUGUCUAGUUGGAAACUCUUGGAGGAACUAGUCCUGCUAAGAUGUUCGCCACAUCUGCAAACUGCUGGAAGUGUGCCUCAACUCCACAUAUUUCCAAUUCAGGGGAAACUUCUCCAGGCAGAGGCACGGCUGUGCUAUGGGCUCUCCAAUCUCGCCCAUUGUGGCCAAUUUGUACAUGGAAGAAGUCGAGAGAAGAGCCCUGGACUCUUUCCCAGGUAUUACUCCAAGCCAUUGGUUCAGAUAUGUGGACGACACUUGGGUCAAGAUCAAAAUCCAGGAAGUGGAGACUUUCACAGAUCAUAUCAACGCAGUCGACAAGAACAUCAAGUUCACCAGGGAAGACACAAAGGACAACACCCUAGCCUUUUUAGACUGUGCUGUGAUCAUUGGAGAGGACAGACAGCUUGAGGUUGAAGUGUACAGGAAGCCUACGCACACAGAUCAGUACCUGUUAUUUGACUCCAACCACCCUUUACAGCACAAACUAGGCGUCAUCAGGACAUUACAACACAGAGCCCAGGAGGUGCCCACAAGCUCUGACGGAAAGAUGAAAGAAGAGCAACAUAUCCACCAAGCCCUCAGGACCUGUGGAUAUCCCAAGUGGGCAUUCACCAGAUCCCAACAUACAGGAAAACAAGACAAGAAGGAACAAGAACCGAAACGGAACAGUAUUUCAAUUCCCUAUAUCGCAGGCCUGUCGGAAAAACUAAAAAGGAUUUUCAAACAACAUAACAUCCCAGUUCAUCUCAAACCAGUCAAUACUCUCAUGCAAAAACUGGUUCAUCCAAAAGACAAAAUUCCCAGCUACAAACAGAGUAAUGUUGUGUACUCUAUCCACUGCAAACAGAACUGCAAUGAACAGUAUAUAGGAGAAACAAAACAACCUCUACACAAGCGGCUCUACCAACAUCGCAGAGCCAACCCAAGUGGACCUGAGUCUGCAGUGCACCUCCACCUGAAGGCCACAAACCACGCGUUCGAGGACAGUGAAGUCCGAAUUCUAGCCAGAGAGAAAGGAUGGUUUGAGCAAGGAGUGAAAGAAGCCAUCUUUGUCAAGAAGGAUAAACCUUCUCUUAAUAAGAAUGGUGGUCUCAGGUUUAUUCUUCCAUCCAUCUACGGCAGUGUUUUGAAACCUAAACAACCCAAACCAGUUCCACCUGAGUCAUUAACAGCGGAAAGAGACGACCAGUUUGGGUAAGGAGGCAUUGGCUCCCCAACCCCCAGCUGAGGACAAAGGACUCUUAAUGACCUGAAACCAUGUAGGCUAAGUGGAAAAUACCAUCCAGUUUCAGGUCUGACUCCUCCCCCAUGAGCGCAUAUAAACCAGCUCUUCGACCAGCUUUUUCAGAAUUGACAAAGCCUCUUGGAUAAGAGGCGAAACGUCUUCUAACUUUAAAAACCAAGUCCAGAUGACAGCCCCUAAACCUACUACAAUGGAACCAACCUGGAUGAAUGAGAGUCUUCAUAGACAUAGUCCUGCUAAGUACCAAACAAGCUUCUUCCAGGACCCACAGCAGUUUCCUUACUGUUGUGGGAUUAGAGC